rnacentral:rRNA from 1 species
UUAAUUGAAGAGUUUGAUCAUGGCUCAGAUUGAACGCUGGCGGCAGGCCUAACACAUGCAAGUCGAGCGGCAGCACAGAGGAACUUGUUCCUUGGGUGGCGAGCGGCGGACGGGUGAGUAAUGCCUGGGAAAUUGCCCGGUAGAGGGGGAUAACCAUUGGAAACGAUGGCUAAUACCGCAUAACCUCGCAAGAGCAAAGCAGGGGACCUUCGGGCCUUGUGCUACCGGAUAUGCCCAGGUGGGAUUAGCUAGUUGGUGAGGUAAGGGCUCACCAAGGCGACGAUCCCUAGCUGG